GGCCUCGUAGCUAAGAUGGCUAGAGCGUUGGCUGUACUAAAGCUUUUCCCUUUCUAUUGUGGGUUAGAAUCCCAUUGAGGUCG
rnacentral:tRNA from 1 species